rnacentral:tRNA from 1 species
GGCCAGAUGGCGGAGUGGUCUAACGCGCCAGACUUGAACCAACCCCAAUUUGGUUAAUCUGGUUCCUUCGGGAGCGUGGUAUGUUACGCCGAAUCAUAUACAAAGGGCCUUUUUGCUUCCCAUUCAGAAACUAAUGUUAAAAUAGUGUUCGAAUCACACUCUGGUCG